AUGAGUGAUGUUGAAAAAGGCAAGAAGAUUUUUGUUCAGAAGUGUGCCCAGUGCCACACUGUGGAAAAGGGAGGCAAGCGUAAGACUGGACCAAAUCUGCAUGGUCUGCUUGGGUGGAAGCCAGGCAAGGCUGUUGGAUUCUCUUACACAGAUGCCAACAAGAACAAAGGCAUCACCUGGGGAGAGGACACCCUCCCUGAUGGAGUAUUUGGAGAAUCCCAAAAAGUACAUCCCUGGAACAAAAAUGAUCUUCACUGGAAUUAAGAAGAAGGGAGAAAGGCAGACCUAAUAGCUUAUCUUAAAAAGGCUACUAAUGAGUAA
rnacentral:lncRNA from 1 species